GGGGGCGUGGCGGAACUGGCAGACGCGACGGACUUAAAAUCCGUUGGGCAUAGCCCGUGUGGGUUCGAGUCCCACCGCCCCUA
rnacentral:tRNA from 1 species